AAUAGAUACCCGGGUAGUCCACGCCGUAAACGAUGAGUGCUAAGUGUUAGAGGGUUUCCGCCCUUUAGUGCUGCAGCUAACGCAUUAAGCACUCCGCCUGGGGAGUACGGCCGCAAGGCUGAAACUCAAAGGAAUUGACGGGGGCCCGCACAAGCGGUGGAGCAUGUGGUUUAAUUCGAAGCAACGCGAAGAACCUUACCAGGUCUUGACAUCCUCUGCCAACCCUAGAGAUAGGGCGUUCCCCUUCGGGGGACAGAGUGACAGGUGGUGCAUGGUUGUCGUCAGCUCGUGUCGUGAGAUGUUGGGUUAAGUCCCGCAACGAGCGCAACCCUUGAUCUUAGUUGCCAGCAUUCAGUUGGGCACUCUAAGGUGACUGCCGGUGACAAACCGGAGGAAGGUGGGGAUGACGUCAAAUCAUCAUGCCCCUUAUGACCUGGGCUACACACGUGCUACAAUGGAUGGUACAAAAGGGCUGCGAACCCGCGAGGGUAAGCGAAUCUCAUAAAAGCCAUUCUCAGUUCGGAUUGUAGG
rnacentral:rRNA from 1 species